AAGGUACAUGAGAUUAAUUCUAUGAAAUGUGUCUCAUCAAUGAAUGAAAUAUUUGAGAGAAAUAACCUUGGAAAAUUAUAAGGCACUCAUGAUUUGGUUAAUGGAUUGGGAUACUUUGAUCUUUGUUGAAAGUUGAAAGAUGAGCUAGAUUAACUAAUUCAUCUUUCUUCAUAAUCAAACUUAACCCUUACAUAACUCAGUUGAGUUACUGCAACCACUUGAUUUUAUUAUGGAUAAAUAUUUGUUAUUUUCACUUUCUCAUUAUGCAGAAAUCCAUUUUUCAUUUUUGUGGCCAGAAGAGAGGAGGCAGAAAUUUAUGUGCAAAUCACUAACAAAAGAGUUAUGCCAUAGAAUGAUAUCAAGCUGGUAUGGAUGUAACAAUCUCUCCCAGUUUGAGCUUGUACAAGAUGGUGGUCUUCCCAGAAGCAUCAAGACCCACCAUCAGAAUCCUCAUCUCACAUUUUGUAAGAAACCUCUUUGCUAGUCUAGAUAUGAUAGCACCCAUGCCACUUUACCAAAAAAAACAGAUCAACUAGGAUUAAAAUUUUCAAACAAAACCUCAGCAACAGAGAAAUAUUGGAAGAGAAAGAAAAUGGAUUGUUUCAUCAAUAUGAGAACUUAUGCAAGAGACAAACUUAAGGAGAAACAUGGGAAAAAGGAUAUCUCUUGUAUUUAAAGCAAGCACCAAAUGGGACAUUGUUGGGUGGAAAGGGAAAGGAGAAUAAAUUCUGAUUUUAGAGGAGAGGCACGAAUUAUAUACUUAUAUUGUAUUGUUCAACUUCAUUAGUACUUGCCAUCAUAUGGGAAUCCUCACAAAAAAUGUUGGUGUAAUAGAUAGCCAAAAUUCUUUUGGUUGCUUUGUAGUUAAACAGUGGUGUGUAAUGUGUAUUGGACAUUUUAUAAAGCCUACACACGUCUUUGUGCCUAACAAAGCUGAAACAAUAGAUCCUUCUCAAUAAGCACUUAGAAUGAUGCCCCAACAAGAGCUAAUUGAUUCCAGAUGGUCCAGGUUAUUGUUCU